AGAUGUGAAGGUGGUUGGGAUGUGACAUUUGUCACCCCAUUGUUCAUCAGGGCUUGAUUUAUCUGAUCUGGCUGGCUGGAUGGGUGUCCCCUCCCUUCCUGCUCUGUGUGCCUCUCUCCUGAACCUCUAUGCUCAGUGGAAGAGGACAACCAUGCCAGAUAAAAGGAAUGUACAGUAUCGUUCUUUGGUUAAGGGUAUAUGAUAGCUUGUUCCUUGCUAGAACCUCUAAACAAACUCAAGCCCCAUUUGUAGGAGAACAUAUGGUAGGGCAAUCAGGAGCUAGUAUUUGCUUUACGAAUCACCUGCUUCU
rnacentral:snRNA from 1 species